GACGAACGCUGGCGGCGUGCCUAAUACAUGCAAGUAGAACGCUGAAGAGAGGAGCUUGCUCUUCUUGGAUGAGUUGCGAACGGGUGAGUAACGCGUAGGUAACCUGCCUUGUAGCGGGGGAUAACUAUUGGAAACGAUAGCUAAUACCGCAUAACAAUGGAUGACACAUGUCAUUUAUUUGAAAGGGGCAAUUGCUCCACUACAAGAUGGACCUGCGUUGUAUUAGCUAGUAGGUGAGGUAAUGGCUCACCUAGGCGACGAUACAUAGCCGACCUGAGAGGGUGAUCGGCCACACUGGGACUGAGACACGGCCCAGACUCCUACGGGAGGCAGCAGUAGGGAAUCCUCGGCAAUGGGGGCAACCCCGACCGAGCAACGCCGCGUGAGUGAAGAAGGUUUUCGGAUCGUAAAGCUCUGUUGUAAGUCAAGAACGGGUGUGAGAGUGGAAAGUUCACACUGUGACGGUAGCUUACCAGAAAGGGACGGCUAACUACGUG
rnacentral:rRNA from 1 species